AAGUCUGGUGCCAGCAGCCGCGGUAAUUCCAGCUCCAAUAGCGUAUAUUAAAAUUGUUGCGGUUAAAACGCUCGUAGUUGGAUAUCUGUGAGCGGGUUUCGGUCCUUCCCAGUGAAGAUUACACGGAACUCUGCUCGCAUUUGUUCAGGGAGGGUGGAUGCACUUCACUGUGUGACCACAUGAUCUGAAUUUUUACUUUGAGGAAAUGAGAGUGUUCCAAGCAGGCAAUCGCCGUGAAUAUGAUAGCAUGGAAUAAUAGCACAGGACUCUUGGUUCAAUGCUGUUGGUUUGUUGAACUAGAGUAAUCACAAUA
rnacentral:rRNA from 1 species